rnacentral:lncRNA from 1 species
GUCAGAGUAUCAAUAAGGUAAAUGAAUCUUACACUGAAGUUAUAUACAUCUAUAAAUGCCAAUAUAAUUUAGAUAUGAAAUGACUGCUGACAUAUCAGAUGCAUCUGAUAGUAUUCCUGACAGAGUAACAUCAGGACAGUUGAAACAACACAAACGUUACUCCCCAAGAUAUCCACAAGUAAAAAGGCGAGAGACAGUCAAAGGAUCAUUGCACCAUGGAAUGUUGGUAGUGGGUCCCCCUUCAGGAGAUGCAAAGAGUCAGCCUACAGUGGCCAAUUCUGAGAUGGGCCAGCACUACCUCCUCUUUCCGAUUUCUCCGAAGAGAGGAAGGCCAGUCUGCGAGUA